AUUCCUGUUGCUGGUAGCUUUCACAAACCAUUACGAAACAUCUUUCGAUGCAAACAUCUUUCGAUGCAUCUUUUCGAGCAAAACUGCAUGUGGCAGGGGGGUUGGAGAUUCAUGAUCCUUGAGGUCCCUUCCAACCCUGGCAAUUCUGUGAUUCUGUGAUCUUGAACUCUCUCACCCUUCUUUAGGACCUAUGGAGCCACUGUCCCCUCUUAACAGACCAACUGAUUAGGGCAGGGCUGAGUUUGCCAUCUUCUCUGACAUCAAAGCACUGAGAUAUCAAAGGGACAUAAGUACCUACAGACACAAAGACAACUUUGGAAGAGGCCUCCUUAUUUAGCACUCUUUGUUAACAAGGAAAACCCGUGUGAGUUGUGAACCUGCUAACCCAGAAUUUUUCUCCAGAGAUGAUGACCAGGUUCUAUGAAGAGAUGAUGAGUCAUUACUUUGAAUGCUUACAUCAUUCCACCUGCCUAUCCAGAGGGACACAGAGAUGUAUGACACCCUGCAACGAUCUUGGCUGUCCUUAUGUUAGAAGAUGUGAAACUUCAGUGAGUGGUGCGAUAGCAGGUUGGACCACUCCCAGUGGGACAAUAUUCCCUUUCGAGCAUGGGAGAAAAUUGCAGUCACGCAACUUUCUGCAACUCAAUAGUGACCAAUUAGGAAGAUACCCAGCUCCCCCAAGCCUGGAUAUCUAAUAAACCAUGACCUGAAAAGUGUCCUUUGCCACAGCAGAUCUUCAGCAGCACUCCUCUUUGUCCAGACUUCUAUUCCAGAUUAUGGGAGAUGGAAAGUCUUUCCAAUGGCCAACAUCAUAAAAGGUUUCUCAGCAGGAUGCACAGCAUUCACUUGGAAGCCUCAUUCCAUUAAUUCUCUUUUCACUAAAAUUAGUUAGAAAGAAGCCAACAAGCUAUCAGAGUGACUUUAAAGGCAACAAACGGUGUUAGUAAUGAGGCAAACAAAUGUCCUUGAAGCGUCUCUCAUCUGCUUGUACCUUACUGUGGCUUUAGCAGAAGUCAUUGUGGUUUUAAUUAACACCUUUCCCUGUGCAAAGUUACCACAUUUUUCUCAAAGACAGCUUUUCCCGAGUGACACUCAAAUAAGAGUUUCUGGAUUUUAUUAUGCCUUCAGAGCCUCAGUUAAUCCAGGGUUUCUUCCAUUUACUUGAGCAGCAAGCUAUUAACACAGAACCCCUCUGAGCAGCGUGCCUGGCCAUAGCCCUUAUCAUGUCAAUGCAUCCCAGAUGUGUCUUGAGCACUGGGCUUCCCAGGAGAUGACCACACUUACAAGCAUCAUCCAGUUGGCUUGCUGGAUCUGUGCCCUGCAUCCUCCUAAAGUGCCAGCAGCACAGAAGGGAAUUUCUCCUCUGGAUGUCCUAGAGAAAUUUGGAUAAGUGCAUGAAGUUUGCAACAAAUAGGAAAGAUUUCAGUCUUUUGGAAAACGAGAGUGUGCUGUAAGAUAGAGGUGCUGGGGCAUCCUUGGUUGAACUGUGAGGGCUUUUCCUUUAAAACAAAUCCUCUGUUUAUCUGCCAUUUCUUUAAUAAUUCUCCAGAGGGGAUUAGACCCUUUGAUCUUGGUCUUGCUGUCACCUGGGAGCUGGCUUACCCCUUAUCCAUUUUGGUCUGUGCUGUGGCUUUGCUGUGAAAUUCAUGCUGCCUCCCUGCCCUGUAUUUUGGUGUGGUACGAAGGGCAGAUCCUUCAACACUCCAUCACAGAAAAGAUGCAGAGAUUUUAGUGAAGAUCCAGAGGAGGCCAUGAAGAUGAUCAGAGGACUGGAAUACCUCUCCUAUGAAGACAGGUUGAGUCUUGUAUAGCUUGGAGAAGAAAAGGCUCUGAGGAGACCUCAUUAAGGUCUUCCAAUAAGUAAAUGGAGCUUACACACAGGGGGGAAAUAAACAUUUUUAAACAGGGAAAUAGUGAUAGGAC
rnacentral:lncRNA from 1 species